UCCCUUAUAAUGAAUAAAUAAAGAAAAGUGAGGGAGAAAGAAGAAAAAGACAAGAUAGGGUAAGCUAAGAGGAAGGAAGACCGUUUGAUCACAUGCAAAGGAUGGAGGCCAUUAGUUGCUUUCGAUGGUUCACCGUAUAGGUUAGGGCUGAUCAAUGUGUGACAAGUGACAGAAUGAUGUUGCGGAGUUGAUAGUGGUCUGCACCAUACAGGCAGCUGGCUAGUGGGAGACGAGCAGAGCGUGUCUGCAUAUGUGCAGGCGUGCACGUCCUAUCACAAGGGUGGGGGAAAAAUGCCCACAAGGCAUGUAAAUGCAUGUGAGGCUUUCUGCGUGAGCCGUGAGUUAGCUUCUAUAAAUAAAUCCUGUGGGGCUAUUUUUAGGAAUUAU
rnacentral:lncRNA from 1 species